rnacentral:rRNA from 1 species
UGUAAGAAUAAAUAGUCGAACAGACUAAAUUUUUUAACUUCUACACCAAAAAAUAAUCUUAAUCCAACAUCGAGGUCGCAAACUUUUUUAUCGAUAAGUUCUCUUUAAAAAUAUUACGCUGUUAUCCCUUAAGUAACUUGAUCUUUUAAUCAUUAUUAAUGGAUCAAUUCAUUAAUUCAUGAAAAAAAGUUAAAUAAAUUUUCCUAUCACCCCAAUAAAAUAUAAUAUUAAGCUUUAAAGGGUCUUCUCGUCCUCUAAUUAAAUUUAAGCUUUUUAACUUAAAAAUUAAAUUCUACAACAAUUUAAAUAAGACAGUAAAAAUUUCAUUCAAUCAUUCAUUCCAGCUUUCAAUUAAAAAACUAUUGAUUAUGCUACCUUUGCACAGUCAAAAUACUGCGGCCUUUUUCAAUGGGCAGAUUAAACUUUUUAUU